rnacentral:rRNA from 1 species
AGCGGGGGAGCAUGUAUAAUUCGAAGAUACGCGAAGAACCUUACCAGGUGGUGACAUCUUGCGCCAACCCUAGAGAUAGGGCGUUUCCUUCGGGAACGCAAUGACAGGUGGAGCAUGGUCGUCGUCAGCUCGUGUCGUGAGAUGUUGGGUUAAGUCCCGCAACGAGCGCAACCCUUGUUACUAGUUGCCAGCAUUAAGUUGGGCACUCUAGUGAGACUGCCGGUGACAAACCGGAGGAAGGUGGGGACGACGUCAGAUCAUCAUGCCCCUUAUGACCUGGGCUACACACGUGCUACAAUGGACGGUACAACGAGUCGCGAACUCGCGAGGGCAAGCAAAUCUCUUAAAACCGUUCUCAGUUCGGACUGCAGGCUGCAACUCGCCUGCACGAAGUCGGAGUAAUCGCGGAUCAGCAUGCCGCGGUGAAUACGUUCCCGGGCCUUGUACACACCGCCCGUCACACCAUGAGAGUUUGUAAAGUCGGUGGGGUAACCUUUUAGGAGCCAGCCGCCUAAGGU